AGAGUUUGAUCCUGGCUCAGGACGAACGCUGGCGGCGUGCUUAACACAUGCAAGUCGAACGGAAAGGCCCUUCGGGGUACUCGAGUGGCGAGCGGGUGAGUAACACGUGGGUGAUCUGCCCUGCACUUUGGGAUAAGCCUGGGAAACUGGGUCUAAUACCGAAUAGGACCACGCGCUUCAUGGUGUGUGGUGGAAAGCUUUUGCGGUGUGGGAUGGGCCCGCGGCCUAUCAGCUUGUUGGUGGGGUAAUGGCCUACCAAGGCGACGACGGGUAGCCGGCCUGAGAGGGUGACCGGCCACACUGGGACUGAGAUACGGCCCAGACUCCUACGGGAGGCAGCAGUGGGGAAUAUUGCACAAUGGGCGCAAGCCUGAUGCAGCGACGCCGCGUGAGGGAUGACGGCCUUCGGGUUGUAAACCUCUUUCAAUAGGGACGAAGCGCAAGUGACGGUACCUAUAGAAGAAGCACCGGCCAACUACGUGCCAGCAGCCGCGGUAAUACGUAGGGUGCGAGCGUUGUCCGGAAUUACUGGGCGUAAAGAGCUCGUAGGUGGUUUGUCGCGUUGUUCGUGAAAACUCACAGCUUAACUGUGGGCGUGCGGGCGAUACGGGCAGACUAGAGUACUGCAGGGGAGACUGGAAUUCCUGGUGUAGCGGUGGAAUGCGCAGAUAUCAGGAGGAACACCGGUGGCGAAGGCGGGUCUCUGGGCAGUAACUGACGCUGAGGAGCGAAAGCGUGGGGAGCGAACAGGAUUAGAUACCCUGGUAGUCCAA
rnacentral:rRNA from 1 species